CGACAUGAUAGCGGGUGAGGCAUGGCUCAGAGGAGUGAAAAGACUAGGAAACAGGAAGGGCAGAAGCAACACAAAAGCACCAGCCAUGGCUCCUCCUCUGUGGCUAUCACUGCUAUGGAGGUAUCUCAUAAUGUUUCUUAAACUUGAUUCUACGCUAUUAAACAAAUUGGCUUUCAAGUCUUAACUUUGGAACACUCAACUAAAGUAACUUUCAUGGAGGAGAGAGAGGCCAUUGUCAUUAUCAGCCUCAUCAAAAGCAUCUCACAUGCCCAUCUAUCUUCCAAUACGUACACGCACUUAUACACGCACACACGUAUAUCUCUGUAUUUUCCCCCAAAAAAAAAAGAGCUGAAGAAUUCUAUUUACCCAUGAAUUGAUUAUCCCAUAAAUCACAAUCAACAAUAUAAUCUAUCAUUAAUAUAUACCAAUCAGAAAGCAUAAUAAGGCCAAGGAAUAAUAACAGGAGCAUGUACAAAUGUUUAGAUAGUACAAGAAACAGCUUGACUGCAUUGAUGGGCAUUUUGGUUAAAUAAGAUUAAUGGUGCUGCGUCUUUUCCACAGGGACCCCCAAUUGCCAACGGCUAGAUUUCAUGGAAGAGAUGAGGACAACGUUUACGUGGCACAAAUAGAAUGAGUCGUCUCAGAUUGUCGCUACUUCAUAGAAAAAUCUGCUCUUUUUGUGUAAUUUUUAGUAAUUGCCUCACAUUAUUGCUCGGCGUUUCACCAUCGAGCCACCGACAGUCUUAAAUGUCAUUAUCAAUGUAGCAAAUAAUAAGGAUGAUGUUGUAAAUUGAAUGGGACCAUUUUCUAUGUAGCGAAUAAUUUUUAUUUAAGAUAUCGGAUUUUAGUUUUCAACUUUCUCUAUUUUCUUUCAUUUUCUCUCUAAUUUAUAGCAGACGAUCUAUUUUUUUCCCCUUUUUUGAGAUAAAUAUAAUGUUAAUAAGUUUAUUUUUUAAAAUAAAUUAAUUCUCAUGUACAAUUAUUUUUUCCUAUGGUAUUUUCUUGAAGUGUUCAAAGUAUCUACAAUUUAAGGUAAGAAAUUUUAGAGAAUGUCUCAAAAAUAAUAUAUUACUUAAUUUUUAAUUUUUGGAACUUUACUAUCUAAAGUAUUAGUUGAUACUAUAAAGCCAUAGCAACUUUAAAUAUGUCGGGAAGUACAAGUCAAGCAUUAUUUAAAGACUAAUAAUUGACUUGGUACAUAAUUAAGUCUCCGCUACUGAUCCCACACAAAAGACAAAAAUUCAAAUUUAGUGGUUUGAUGUAAUGGAUAACGGUCAUUUUUUAUUUUAAUGAAAAAGGAAUGAGAACCAAACAGGGGCUAAAUCGAUUGUGUUCUUUAAAACCAUCUUAUCGAAGAAUAAUUCUGAUUAUUAAAUAAUUAUGAGCAAUUUAUUUACCAUACUUAGUUGACACAUAUAUAUUUCUUGUUCAAUAUCAGUCAAGCAUUUAUUCAAAAAUUUCGUGUGGGAUUUAUACUCCAUAACUAGCCAUCCAAUUCUUUAAAAUCAAUCGAAUUUUCUUAUUGUAUAACUGAGGAUUCAAUUUCGUGAUUUGCAAUUUGAUUAGUAUAGUUAAUGUAAUUUAUUGCUAAGUAACAAUUCAAUUCUUGUAAUUAAAGAAACGUAUACUUGACAAGCAACUCGUAUUUUAUUUGAUAAAUAUUGAUGUGGUUGCUCUGAAAAUAUGACAAUUUUUUUGUGGAAAACGUGUACUAAGAUAUUAAGCUAGCCUGAUACUAUUAAGCCUCUCUGUUGAUUCAACUAGAAAAUUAUAUUAUAAUUUAUAUCAAAAUCAACAAUUAAUUUUAAUUAUAUAUUUUAUUAAAUUCACAACUUUUCUACCACAUAUUUUAUCAAUUUUUAUUGAAAUAUACUAAAUUUUUUUUUUUAAUCUAAAUCAAAUAGGAACUAAAUAACAUAAUUGUGCUUGGCACGUGGCAUGUACACAGAUAAAAUCCUAAAAACCGAGUAAUCAGCUAUGCCAAAAUAGAAACCUGAAAAACUAAUGUUGUACUGAUAAAUUUGAGCUGCAGUUGAUAUUUUGUCAUCACACUUGUCUUGUCUAAGGAAUCCUAUGCAUUUUUACUUUUCGUGUGUUUUUUUUUUUUUUUUUAAAAUUUUAUUUUAUCUUGCAUCGAGGAAUAAGACCAACUUACUUUUAACUACAUCAAAUAAAGUCUAAUUAGGUUGAUUUCUCCUCAAGUCUUAUUAACUUCAUUAAGGUGUUUUUUAAGACCUUUAUAGUCUAUACGAACAAUGAGAAUGAUUCCUCCUACCUACAAAAAUCUCGGCUCUUAAUUUAAGUUGAUCUAUAAUUUUAUUAAAAAUUUAAAAUGGACCCACCUGAACAACCGUCAGCCCACCAGCACCACCACGUACAUGGCCAACUACCUCAACUUGAAUUGAAAGAGGAAGCUUGCAUCUUUACUCUGAUAGAACUAAUAUAAUUCGCGUCUUGUUGUUCUUAUAGACUUGUAUAAGUAAAUAAUGUAUUUCAUUCUAUGUCUUAUUCAGGAAGAAAUUCAACACAAGUCUCAACAGUAACUGAGAGUUCUAAACUUGUCAAACUCUUUUGUUGAUGGUUAAUUAGGACUUUAAAUUUUAAAUGGUGAUUUUAACAAGUACUAGUUCUCGUAUAUCUUGUUUCUUUUAGUAUGUUCAAUAUUAUGUCUGGACUCUAUGGACAUUGAGCUAAGCAUUUUGAAUAGUGUCCAGAUUUUUUUAUUUUGUUUAUUAAUUACUCGUGGCAUCUUUGCAAUUGCACAGCUGGAAAAAUAUGUGAUAUUCUAAAAUUUUAUUUUUCCUACGAGAGCAAUAAGAAUUGAUUCACAAUUUUCGGGAGCUAAAUUUGAUGUUUGGAAAGUUUAGAGACUUAAUUGCACUCUCUUGGAGAUUUCAUCAGAUCGAUUAUGAAUGAUUGAGAAAUGUUGUGAACCAAUUUAUAAUGAAUUAAAGCUGAAGGACCAAGAUUUAAAGAAGAAAGUAUGCAAAUUGAACAACAUAUGAGAUCUGGUGAUCAAAUUGUAACAGACAGAUAAUUAAGGGUUGUGAUCGCAAUUAUCUUUUUGCAGAAGCAGCCCCAAAAGUUUUUAUGCUGUGCAAUCUCAGUCCCUAUACUAUUGCUAUCGCACAAUAUGGUCCCGAACAGAUUUCUCUCUCUCUCUCUCUCUCUCUCUCAUUUUGUUUUGUUUUGUUUUUUCUCUUUUCCAAUCAAACACUUUAUGUAAACCAUCUAGACACGAAUUUAACCUAAAUCUUAUCCUCUAAAUAUGGAUAUUCAUCUACAAAUAAAAUGGGGAGGGCUAGAGAGAAAGUUAGAGGCUCAAAUACAUAAAUUAUAUGCAAUUAAAAGAGCCAACUGGAUAUCAAAUCAUUAUUUCCUGUAAAGUUUUAAAGAAACUAUACAUAUUUCUACAAUAUUGCUUGAAAUUAUUGAAGAUUCAAGAAACUUUGAAGGAAAUCAAGACUCAAUGGUCUUUCUAACUUUCUUUCCAAUUCCUAAUUUUCGAGUUAAUUUGUGUGUAAUCAAUUGGUGUUCUUGUAAUAUUAUGAUAUUUGGCUAGUUGUUUAGAUUUUAGGAUAACUUUGAAACUUAUAUAUAGAUAUUGAUUAUAUAAUUUUGGCACUUGAUUUUGAAUGUUUUUAAUGCGAUCAAUUAAUUGGUCAUUAAUUGAACUGUUCAAGUUCAGAAGAAUGAAAGUGGAAGGUAGCACGUUAUAAUUGGGAAUAAUGUAUAACUCCUGCAUGAACCAAUUGAUGUUCUUGUGCUUUUAAUUAACUGCUUCGCAUAUAAGUUAGGAACAGGAAUAUUACACAGUUAUGCUUAGAAAUAUCUUUGAUAGAUUGAACAUGAUAAGAAUAUUGGGCCCUUGUUUGAGCCCCAUUUUUUUCAUAAGAAUGAAUUUUCAAAUAGCAUGUUUGUUAGAACCAAUCAACCAACUGGGAGGAAUCAUCCAUAGUGGCUAGUUGCUCAACCUUUAUAACAACAUUCCCUGUGUAAUGCAGUGUAUUUCCCUGAUUUUACGAGUGAACGAAUAAUUUUGUUGGACACUUGACAUCAUUGUAUAGGUGAUAAUGGAAUAUCCCUUUUUGUAUGCAAUAUUCAUCUGCUGUAAUUGUGUAUAUGAAGAGGUUGCAGAAAGAGAUCAUUUGAGCUAAAAAAUUUAUUGAAAUCAUUACAAUUUUUUUACUUGGUAUCAGAGCCAAAAUGGCUAACAUCGAUUCCAGUGCUCAAGCUUCUUCAACCGAUUUGAGUCAUGCACAAUCCACAGAAGUUGCUGUAUAUCAGUCAUCACCCUUUGAGAUGAAUCUUACUCAAACUACAUCAGUAAACCUUGACAAAAAUGAUUUCAUGUUAUGGCAAAACAAAGUUAUGCCUAUAAUCAAAUGCCAUAAUCUUGAAGGCUACUUGCUGGGAACAAAACAAUGCCACCGGAGUUCACUAGUACUCAAACCACUACUAAAACAGGAGAAGCCAUAAAAGUGACCCAGAAGCCAGAGUACAGCAAAUGGAUGUCAACUGAUCAGCUGCUAAUGGGAUGACUGCAUUCAUCCAUGACCCCUGAAAUUGCAAUGAAGGUCAUGGGAUGUACUAGCUCAAACAGUUUGUGGAAUGCAAUCAAAGAAAGUUAUGGAAUAUUGAAUAGAUCAAGAGUGACAUUCCUUACUUGGGAGCUAGUUCUCUUGGGAGCUGUAGAGAACUAGGAAAAGUUCUAUGACUAUGGAUCAAUACCUUAACACGGUCAAGCAGCUGGCUGACAACCUGCAAAUAGUUGGGAAAACGGUGGAUCAUAGUGACCUUGUAACCCAACGACCUUGUAACCCAACUUCUUGCAGGUCUGGAUGAAGAAUACACACCUAUUAUGGUGCAGAUUAACAACAGGGGUGAUAUUUCNUUUCUAAUCCAGUUUCUGAUUCCAACAUGGAAUAAAUCCCAAGGUAUUUUCCACCUUUCCAAAUUCAGCAUCAAUACCCAAGUAUCAACAAUGUAAUACUUCAGCUCUUUUCCCCUUCUGCAGGUAUGCACUAAAAUCUUAAAGAUUAAAAACAAAUCCCCACCCCCCAGAAAAAAAUAGGAUUUAGAAACAUGAUUUAAAAAAAAAAGGGACGAAUCCCUCUCAAGAUCGAAUCUUUUCAGAAAUGUGUUCCCAAAUUUAAGAAUAUACAUAACUAGAAAAAAAUAAAGUUUAAAUCUUUUUCUUUCAUGUUAUACAUAAUUAGCAAACGAUAAAGUUCAAAUAUUUUUUCCUUCAUGUUAUACAUAACUACCAAAGGAUAAAGUUUAAAUCAUUUUUCUUUGACGUUCUUCUUUCUCAAGCAUUUCCCUCAAACUAAAAAAAAACCCAGAUAUAAAAAGGUAAAAACAACUCAAAAAUCGGGAAGAACAGUACAAGAAACACAGAAUUCGCAUACUACACAUAGAUCAAUCAAAAUACACGCAUAAACAAGAAAAAUAUGAUUUCAAUAACAUACCGACAUGAUAGCGGGUGAGGCAUGGCUCAGAGGAGUGAAAAGACUAGGAAACAGGAAGGGCAGAAGCAACACAAAAGCACCAGCCAUGGCUCCUCCUCUGUGGCUAUCACUGCUAUGGAGGUAUCUCAUAAUGUUUCUUAAACUUGAUUCUACGCUAUUAAACAAAUUGGCUUUCAAGUCUUAACUUUGGAACACUCAACUAAAGUAACUUUCAUGCCGGAGAGAGGGGCCAUUGUCAUUAUCAGCCUCAUCAAAAGCAUCUCACAUGCCCAUCUAUCUUCCAAUACGUCGGUACACGCACUUACACACGCACACACGUAUAUCUGUGUAUUUUCCCAAAAAAAGAAAAAGAAAAAAAGAGCUGAAGAAUUCUAUUUACCCAUGAAUUGAUUAUCCCAUAAAUCACAAUCAACAAUAUAAUUUAUCAUUA
rnacentral:lncRNA from 1 species